rnacentral:rRNA from 1 species
UACGGAGGGUGCAAGCGUUGCUCGGAAUUAUUGGGCGUAAAGGGUAGGUAGGUGGUCUCAUUUGUCUGGGGUGAAAGCCUUGAGCUUAACUCAAGAAGUGCCCCGGAAACGGUGAGACUGGAGUCUUGGAGAGGGUCGUGGAAUUCCCGGUGUAGCGGUGAAAUGCGUAGAGAUCGGGAGGAACACCAGAGGCGAAGGCGGCGACCUGGACAAGCACUGACACUCAACUACGAAGGCGUGGGGAGCAAACAGG